UACGUAGGGGGCUAGCGUUGUCCGGAAUCAUUGGGCGUAAAGAGCGCGUAGGCGGCCAGAUAAGUCCGGUGUGAAAGUCACAGGCUCAACCUGUGAAUGCCGCUGGAAACUGUCUGGCUAGAGUCCGGAAGGGGCGAGUGGAAUUCCUGGUGUAGCGGUGAAAUGCGCAGAUAUCAGGAGGAACACCAAUGGCGAAGGCAGCUCGCUGGGACGGUACUGACGCUCAUGCACGAAAGCGUGGGGAGCAAACAGG
rnacentral:rRNA from 1 species